rnacentral:lncRNA from 1 species
UUUUUUUUUUUUUUUUCGUCUAAAGGAUUUCAUUGAUAGAAUGCGAUUGAGUUAUACAAAGCCGACAAAGAUCGAAAUCCUUUCGGAGACAAAGCCGGCGGGUACAUAGAAACCCCCAGAAACUUAAGGCCAAAAGAGGCGGACAAACAUAACAAGCCUAAGAACAUCAGAUACAAAGAUAACUACUAAAGGAAUAACAGCUAAAGCCUCCAAAGCAACAACACUGAAAACUCUUCCCUACAAGCAGUUGACUAGCACUUCCAUAGAACAGUUUGGCGCUGAGGAGAGGCAACAGACAGGAGCCUCGAAAAGAACCGAGCUCACACAACCAUCUCCACAGCAGAAACGAAGACGACGAGGCAAG